GAUGAACGCUGGCGGCGUGCCUAAUAUAUGCAAGUCGAGCGAACAGACGAGGAGCUUGCUCCUCUGACGUUAGCGGCGGACGGGUGAGUAACACGUGGAUAACCUACCUAUAAGACUGGGAUAACUUCGGGAAACCGGAGCUAAUACCGGAUAAUAUAUUGAACCGCAUGGUUCAAUAGUGAAAGACGGUUUUGCUGUCACUUAUAGAUGGAUCCGCGCCGCAUUAGCUAGUUGGUAAGGUAACGGCUUACCAAGGCAACGAUGCGUAGCCGACCUGAGAGGGUGAUCGGCCACACUGGAACUGAGACACGGUCCAAACUCCUACGGGAGGCAGCAGUAGGGAAUCUUCCGCAAUGGGCGAAAGCCUGACGGAGCAACGCCGCGUGAGUGAUGAAGGUCUUCGGAUCGUAAAACUCUGUUAUUAGGGAAGAACAAAUGUGUAAGUAACUAUGCACGUCUUGACGGUACCUAAUCAGAAAGCCACGGCUAACUACGUG
rnacentral:rRNA from 1 species